GUUUUUGCUAUAAAAGGAACAUUUUCUAGAAUAUUUCUUAAAGAAGGCAUUAAAGAAAUAAUUCUUAAAAAAUAAAUAAAAACUAGCAUCCUGCAUCUCUGAUUUGCCAGAUUCAUCAUAGCAUGCUAAUUAAUAAAUUAAUUAAAAUUUGCAUCCUGCAUCUCUGAUUUGCCAGAUUCAUCAUAACAUGCUAAUUAAUAAAUAAAAAGACACUCUCAGUAUAUAGCUCUUAAAAGAGCCUUUGUGUGUGCUGUCAUAUAGUUAUACAUUGCUUUGAUUUUUAGGGAUUAAACCAAUAAACUACUUUGACUAGUGACUUUACCAUUUGUUUUAUUAAUGUUUAUUUAUAGUGCAAUUUAUUCUGCUUACCUGACUCAUGCAGACUUCUGUCCUGAUGUUUGGCUGUGGUCCCCCCAUCAUCCACUCUUCGGCAACCGGUCUAUUUAUGGAGACCACCGUGAUCUAAUCUAUACAGAUCUAGUUGUCUUUUCUCCUACAAACUCCACUUUUAGGAGUACAGAAGUGUCACCAUGAGUUCCCGACCUCCUGACCUCUCUGUGGCUCAGCUGUUUAAGGACUUUUUCAGAACUACAUCUUUUUUGGUCACCACAUUUAGGAUGUUCAGUGGGGAUUCAUCGGUGGAUUCCACCUAUGGAAAAGUUUAGGCUGGGAGUGUGUUGUCAUACCAGCAGAAACAAUCUGCAUCAUUACUCACCAUCAUGAUGCCCCAUCACCACCACAUCUACCACUUACUGGUUACAGCCUUGAUACAUCUGUCUGCUUGUUUGUCCAUAGCGAACAUAUUUGUUUUUGUAUGUAACCAACACAUUUGUACAGGAAAUGUAACAAUUUAUAUUGACAUGUUUACAUUAUCUACAUUUGUACAAAUAAAUGCAAAUUUAUCAAUUUACAAUUUCUAUACUAAAUAUUAUUUUAAUUAAUAUAUAUAUAUUCUGUUGUAUUUUCGUAGAGAGUGAAAGUAGCCAAGGGUAUUAAGGGAAUAAAAAAAAGUCUGUCUCUAGUGUAUACUCUAGAAAUACUUUGCUUGUAUUAAGGAAACCAUAAUCACUAAUGUCUACACUGGAAGCGACGGGACUGGACAAAUCCCCUUCAGUAAAAUCAUUCCUCGUUCUAUUUUUGGCGUAGUCCAAGCUCUUUGCAACAACGGUUGCGUAUGGUGUGACAUGGUGUUACAUUAAAAACCAGAGUUCUACUGAU